AAUAUUGGACAAUGGGGGGAACCCUGAUCCAGCCAUGCCGCGUGUGUGAAGAAGGUCUNCGGAUUNUNAAGCACUUUAAGUUGGGNAGAAGAGUUGUAGGCUAAUACCUUGCAAUUUUGACGUUACCAACAGAAUAAGCACCGGCUAACUUCGUGCCAGCAGCCGCGGUACUACGAAGGGUGCAACCGUUAAUCGGAAUUACUGGGCGUAAAGCGCGCGUAGGUGGUUCGUUAAGUUGGAAGUGAAAGCCCCGGGCUUAACCUGGGAAUUGCUUUCAAAACUGACGAGCUAGAGUACGGUAGAGGGUAGUGUAAUUUCCUGUGUAGCGGUGAAAUGCGUAGAUAUAGGAAGGAACAUCAGUGGCGAAGGCGGCUACCUGGACUGAUACUGACACUGAGGUGCGAAAGCGUGGGGAGCAAACAGG
rnacentral:rRNA from 1 species